rnacentral:rRNA from 1 species
GGGUUGUGAGGUUAAGCGACUAAGCGUACACGGUGGAUGCCCUGGCAGUCAGAGGCGAUGAAGGACGUGCUAAUCUGCGAUAAGCGUCGGUAAGGUGAUAUGAACCGUUAUAACCGGCGAUUUCCGAAUGGGGAAACCCAGUGUGUUUCGACACACUAUCAUUAACUGAAUCCAUAGGUUAAUGAGGCGAACCGGGGGAACUGAAACAUCUAAGUACCCCGAGGAAAAGAAAUCAACCGAGAUUCCCCCAGUAGCGGCGAGCGAACGGGGAGCAGCCCAGAGCCUGAAUCAGUGUGUGUGUUAGUGGAAGCGUCUGGAAAGGCGCGCGAUACAGGGUGACAGCCCCGUACACAAAAAUGCACAUGCUGUGAGCUCGAUGAGUAGGGCGGGACACGUGGUAUCCUGUCUGAAUAUGGGGGGACCAUCCUCCAAGGCUAAAUACUCCUGACUGACCGAUAGUGAACCAGUACCGUGAGGGAAAGGCGAAAAGAACCCCGGCGAGGGGAGUGAAAAAGAACCUGAAACCGUGUACGUACAAGCAGUGGGAGCACGCUUAGGCGUGUGACUGCGUACCUUUUGUAUAAUGGGUCAGCGACUUAUAUUCUGUAGCAAGGUUAACCGAAUAGGGGAGCCGAAGGGAAACCGAGUCUUAACUGGGCGUUAAGUUGCAGGGUAUAGACCCGAAACCCGGUGAUCUAGCCAUGGGCAGGUUGAAGGUUGGGUAACACUAACUGGAGGACCGAACCGACUAAUGUUGAAAAAUUAGCGGAUGACUUGUGGCUGGGGGUGAAAGGCCAAUCAAACCGGGAGAUAGCUGGUUCUCCCCGAAAGCUAUUUAGGUAGCGCCUCGUGAAUUCAUCUCCGGGGGUAGAGCACUGUUUCGGCAAGGGGGUCAUCCCGACUUACCAACCCGAUGCAAACUGCGAAUACCGGAGAAUGUUAUCACGGGAGACACACGGCGGGUGCUAACGUCCGUCGUGAAGAGGGAAACAACCCAGACCGCCAGCUAAGGUCCCAAAGUCAUGGUUAAGUGGGAAACGAUGUGGGAAGGCCCAGACAGCCAGGAUGUUGGCUUAGAAGCAGCCAUCAUUUAAAGAAAGCGUAAUAGCUCACUGGUCGAGUCGGCCUGCGCGGAAGAUGUAACGGGGCUAAACCAUGCACCGAAGCUGCGGCAGCGACGCUGAUGCGUUGUUGGGUAGGGGAGCGUUCUGUAAGCCUGCGAAGGUGUGCUGUGAGGCAUGCUGGAGGUAUCAGAAGUGCGAAUGCUGACAUAAGUAACGAUAAAGCGGGUGAAAAGCCCGCUCGCCGGAAGACCAAGGGUUCCUGUCCAACGUUAAUCGGGGCAGGGUGAGUCGACCCCUAAGGCGAGGCCGAAAGGCGUAGUCGAUGGGAAACAGGUUAAUAUUCCUGUACUUGGUGUUACUGCGAAGGGGGGACGGAGAAGGCUAUGUUGGCCGGGCGACGGUUGUCCCGGUUUAAGCGUGUAGGCUGGUUUUCCAGGCAAAUCCGGAAAAUCAAGGCUGAGGCGUGAUGACGAGGCACUACGGUGCUGAAGCAACAAAUGCCCUGCUUCCAGGAAAAGCCUCUAAGCAUCAGGUAACAUCAAAUCGUACCCCAAACCGACACAGGUGGUCAGGUAGAGAAUACCAAGGCGCUUGAGAGAACUCGGGUGAAGGAACUAGGCAAAAUGGUGCCGUAACUUCGGGAGAAGGCACGCUGAUAUGUAGGUGAAGCGACUUGCUCGUGGAGCUGAAAUCAGUCGAAGAUACCAGCUGGCUGCAACUGUUUAUUAAAAACACAGCACUGUGCAAACACGAAAGUGGACGUAUACGGUGUGACGCCUGCCCGGUGCCGGAAGGUUAAUUGAUGGGGUCAGCGCAAGCGAAGCUCUUGAUCGAAGCCCCGGUAAACGGCGGCCGUAACUAUAACGGUCCUAAGGUAGCGAAAUUCCUUGUCGGGUAAGUUCCGACCUGCACGAAUGGCGUAAUGAUGGCCAGGCUGUCUCCACCCGAGACUCAGUGAAAUUGAACUCGCUGUGAAGAUGCAGUGUACCCGCGGCAAGACGGAAAGACCCCGUGAACCUUUACUAUAGCUUGACACUGAACAUUGAGCCUUGAUGUGUAGGAUAGGUGGGAGGCUUGGAAGUGUGGACGCCAGUCUGCAUGGAGCCGACCUUGAAAUACCACCCUUUAAUGUUUGAUGUUCUAACGUUGACCCGUAAUCCGGGUUGCGGACAGUGUCUGGUGGGUAGUUUGACUGGGGCGGUCUCCUCCUAAAGAGUAACGGAGGAGCACGAAGGUUGGCUAAUCCUGGUCGGACAUCAGGAGGUUAGUGCAAUGGCAUAAGCCAGCUUGACUGCGAGCGUGACGGCGCGAGCAGGUGCGAAAGCAGGUCAUAGUGAUCCGGUGGUUCUGAAUGGAAGGGCCAUCGCUCAACGGAUAAAAGGUACUCCGGGGAUAACAGGCUGAUACCGCCCAAGAGUUCAUAUCGACGGCGGUGUUUGGCACCUCGAUGUCGGCUCAUCACAUCCUGGGGCUGAAGUAGGUCCCAAGGGUAUGGCUGUUCGCCAUUUAAAGUGGUACGCGAGCUGGGUUUAGAACGUCGUGAGACAGUUCGGUCCCUAUCUGCCGUGGGCGCUGGAGAACUGAGGGGGGCUGCUCCUAGUACGAGAGGACCGGAGUGGACGCAUCACUGGUGUUCGGGUUGUCAUGCCAAUGGCACUGCCCGGUAGCUAAAUGCGGAAGAGAUAAGUGCUGAAAGCAUCUAAGCACGAAACUUGCCCCGAGAUGAGUUCUCCCUGACCCUUUAAGGGUCCUGAAGGAACGUUGAAGACGACGACGUUGAUAGGCCGGGUGUGUAAGCGCAGCGAUGCGUUGAGCUAACCGGUACUAAUGAACCGUGAGGCUUAACCUUACAACGCCGAAGCUGUU